GCUGAACCGGGAGCUGGAGCUGGCCAUGGCGCUCUGCGGCUGCCGGAGCGUCGGGGAGGUCACCAGGCGGCACGUCCUGACCGAGGGCGACCGGAUCAGGGCGCUGCUGUGAGCUUGUGAACAAGGUUGAUACAUGGAGCCAUGAACGGACGACCUGGCUAUCCAUGGUCGGUAUGCGACGGACUGCCUAGAUGGCAGUCAGUGUCCGUCCUCCGGUGGGUGUUGCAAUGAGAGCCCAUCUGACAUUGAUUGAUCGCUCCAAAAAUAAGUCAAAAAUAAGCCAUUGUGCAUUGCCAAUAUCAAAACGACGGUUACCAAAAAUCUGUGCUGG
rnacentral:lncRNA from 1 species